GACGAACGCUGGCGGCGUGCUUAACACAUGCAAGUCGAACGGAAAGGCCCUGCUUUUGUGGGGUGCUCGAGUGGCGAACGGGUGAGUAACACGUGAGUAACCUGCCCUUGACUUUGGGAUAACUUCAGGAAACUGGGGCUAAUACCGGAUAGGAGCUCCUGCUGCAUGGUGGGGGCUGGAAAGUUUCGGCGGUUGGGGAUGGACUCGCGGCUUAUCAGCUUGUUGGUGGGGUAGUGGCUUACCAAGGCUUUGACGGGUAGCCGGCCUGAGAGGGUGACCGGCCACAUUGGGACUGAGAUACGGCCCAGACGCCUACGGGAGGCAGCAGUGGGGAAUAUUGCACAAUGGGCGGAAGCCUGAUGCAGCAACGCCGCGUGCGGGAUGACGGCCUUCGGGUUGUAAACCGCUUUCGCCUGUGACGAAGCGUGAGUGACGGUAAUGGGUAAAGAAGCACCGGCUAACUACGUG
rnacentral:rRNA from 1 species